AUACGGAGGGUGCGAGCGUUAAUCGGAAUUACUGGGCGUAAAGCGCGCGUAGGCGGUUGGGUAAGUCGGAUGUGAAAGCCCCGGGCUUAACCUGGGAAUUGCAUUCGAUACUGCCCGGCUAGAGUAUGGUAGAGGGAAGCGGAAUUCCGGGUGUAGCGGUGAAAUGCGUAGAUAUCCGGAGGAACACCAGUGGCGAAGGCGGCUUCCUGGACCAAUACUGACGCUGAGGUGCGAAAGCGUGGGGAGCAAACAGGAUUAGAAACCCCAGUAGUCC
rnacentral:rRNA from 1 species